GUCAUUGUUAGAUGGUAUGGAAGAGGAGACAUGGGAACACAUAGCCAUAAACUACCGCCACUGAGACUAGCAUUGGCGUUGGCAGUGGACUCUGGCCAAAGUCACAGGGUCACAGCUUCGAAACAGGUUGGCCCUGGUGUAACCAGGGUGUGGCAUUUCUUCUAAUGUCAUCAGAGGGAAAGUGGAGAUGGUCUGGUACUCUUCUGCAAGGCCCAGUUUCUCUGAGAAAGGGGGUAGAGGGGAUCCCAGAUGUUCUAAAAACAGUAAAAUAAAACAGACAAGCAGAAGCCAGGUGCCAAAGUCAGGCCUGGAGACUUUAAUGUCCAGCUAGAUGGAGUGGCUUUAUGACAGACAGACCCUGGCACCAAUCAAGCCUUUGUGAAUGGCCACACAAGCCCUGCCAAAUCCUGCUUCUUGCUGAUGAGGAGAAGGGCCGGUCGUGCCCACCCAUGGCCUCCUGCCUGGUUGAGGUGGUUCCGGACCACUGCUACUCAGUCCAUGCAGCUGACUACUGACGGGGCAGGGGAGGCUGCUAAGCUGGGCUAACCCUUCUCCACUCCAGCACUUUCUGGCUUUUGGUCAUGGUCAUUCUAAGCUUGUGUCAUUCUGUAUAGGCCUCACAUCUGGGAGUAAUAAGGGUCUUUUAGGAGCCCCAGGGCUGGUUCAAGGGGCCCAGGGAGGACCUGAGGCUCAAGGCUCCCAGGGCAUAGCCCCGCCCUCUGGGGAUUCUCGCUUCAGUAGCUCUGUUGCUGCCACCUCGACUUCCUCUGGUUCCAUCUGGCAGGCAUCUGCCAGGGCCUGGCCUGUUGCCAUGACGAAGUUAGCAUCUGCUGCUAAGGAGUCUAGUCCUCCUCGAACCAGAGCCUGCAGUGGAAAGAGGAUGUUGGGUGGGUCUUCCAGGCAAAUUGUCUUCUGCACCCCACCCCCACCUUUGGUCCUACUCUCUCCCCACAACAGACUAUUACAAGGCCACCCCUGAGUGUGCUGCCCUGCUCCAGCCCCACCUCACCUCCUGGAUCAGCAUGGCAGUAGCUGGAGCCGUGCACCUGUGAGCCGAAUUCCUGGGAACAUGCUCUUCAAAGUUCCUGCUGUCGGGUGUUCCCAGAGACCAUGACGUGGGGCCCUUUUCCUCUUUCUGCACAGGAUGCUCUGCCUGGGAGAGCUGUCUCAAACACAGAAAAGCAAGACACCCCCAAAACAGAUAUGCUAGAACCAACAGACACACUGGAGCCCAUAGCUCAUCCAAGGGAGUCUCUGCCAAGACCAACAGACUGGGGAAGAUGCAGGAACACAGGACCCUUCCGCUAUGGAUGGACUGCUACCCACAGGGCCCUUCCCCUGCCAGGCCAAGUGGGGUCUGUAAGGCACUUCCUCCCAGCCUUUUGCCUCUGUUACCUGGCACAGGGAAGGUGACACCUGGCCUUCAGGCAUUCUUCUCUGGGUCAUCUGUCUUUUCAGUUUGUCCACAUGGGAUCUGCUGUGAGGUCCUGUGGGCCAAGGAAGGCAAGGUCAGUGGGGCUGCCAACCCCUAAUGGGUGGAGUCAUCAGAGCCUUUCUUGGGCAGCUACAGCAGGUAGUUUAGAAGGUAGAUACACAUUGAAACCUAAGAAACUCCAGGCCAGACAGAAAUGGCUCAGCUCUCCCUGCCCAGCACUUUGUCCUUAUGGUUUGGGAGAGGCUGAGGGGUAGGCUCACUGGCAAGUCAGUGUGUUGUUCAGUAUGGCUAUGUGUGUGCAAGUUAAAGUGUGUUGGCAAGCAAGGAAGUACCCUCACUGUUACUGAACCCCAGAAAUCUUGGGGAUGCUCCUGUCACUCAGUGUUCCCAGACCAACAGGGAGACUGCAUGACCACCUGCCAAGGACUCCACCACCCAGGGGUCAAUUGUGCAGGGAUUGUCCUUCCAGGAACCCAGUGAAGGGGAACUCCAGGCUAGGCUACACAGAAGGGGGCUAUAGACUUGCACAAGGCCCGUUAGAGUGAACAAGCCUUCCCCACCCAUUACCCAUUCCCAUUUGGAGCCUUCCUCAGCCUGGUGAUAGUGUUCCUCCUCCCAGGACCCAUCCCAUCAUAAAGGUUCUAAGGGACCCUCCAAGGCUCUAAGGAAAGAGGGAGCACCCCUAAACCCCUCUAGGAGAAGGCUUAGCUUCUUAGUCACAGAAAAGACUGACCUGAGACCCUGCAGGGCUGACUGAAGGGUCCUUCUCCAGUAGCCGGCAUGUCUGCCUUUUCCAGGAACUCCUUUUCAUAGCAGAUGCUGAAACAGGAGUAGAGCAGGCUGAAACCCAUCCACAGAGGUACCAGUGAACAUCCAAUCAGAGUGCAGGAGUCUUCACACCAGGGCUGGUUCUGCCAGAGCUUGACUCUAGCUGUCCUUGACUUGGGGGGGAGCAAGCCAAACUCACGGCUGCCUCCACUCCUGCUCAAUGCUUCCCCUACUCUUCUCACAUUCUGCACAUCCUCAGCACUCUUAGGACCCUAGCUCUCAAUCCUAAUGACACAUAGGCUCACCUGGGAAUCUGUGGUGAAGACCAUUGGCUGGGGGACCCACUCUAGACACGGGUAGUUUUGAAAGCUCCAGAUAUUGCUCACGUGCAACUGAAACCGAGAAGUGUUCUGGGCCUUUCCAGCCCGCAUCAUUAGUAACACUUCUGUAUUCUUGGUACACCUAACGGGUCCUAAUUGGUCACCACUGUACCACAUGACACACCCACCCACGGCAGAUCCCAGGUCUGAUGCUUCUGUGUUUCCACUCUACCUAGCACCAUGGGGACCCAGAGACAUGGGUACCUUUCAAGCAAUCUGGGCUGCAUUCAAGAGGCCUCUUUGGACUGGAGUGAGGUGUUGGCAGUCCUGACUAGGGAAGUGGCUGUUUAGCUGGCUUCUGCCCUAUCUUCCCAAUGAGACCACUGCCCGUCCAGAGCAGGAGUCCCCCUGGGAAUCCAGCCCCUGAGUUAUGAUGGCUAAGUGGCUCUGCUGCCCGUACUAUAGCAUCUUAUGCCACUUAAAUAGCAGCCUUGGAUUGGUGUGAUGGGAAUGUGGUGGUUGGAAUAGGCUUAACCCUGGGACUGGUCUUGUUGGAGUAGGUGUGAUCUCCGAGGAAGUAUGCCUUCUCCUGUUUGUCUUCGGAACCAGAUUUAGAACCCUCAGUUCUUCCUCCAGCACCAUGCCUGCCUGCAUGCUGCCAUGGUUCCUGCCUUAAUGAUAAUGGACUGAACCUUUGAGUCUGUAAGUCAGCCCCAGUUAAAUGUUGUCCUUAUAA
ensembl:antisense